CCAAAAAAAUUAGAGGGAGCUAAUCCAAUUUGGCAUGAUCAAACUCAUUCCUCCCGAGGAGUUAUUUCCACCAUCUUUGACGGGGCAUAAAAUAGAUGAAUCUUGAACGAGGUUUAGGACUUGCCAUAUACAUGAAACUUAUUCAGGAAAGCUUCUGUUUUCGCGGAUGUGGUCCAAGGUACGGCGUAAACCAUAUUUCUUUACAGCAGCAUUAGCAGCUCUAAAUCCUUCUCCAUAUGCUGGCGAAGCAUCGUUUGCUAUCUGAUGCAUAAAAAACUCCCCCAGCUUGCUUUCUAUGCGUGAUUUUGCACCUUUUUUAGAUGAUGACCAAGUUGACGAUGAGGAUGAUGAAGCUGCUGAUGUGGAUGGCAUGUUUCUGAAUUCGGGCAUAACUUCAGACUCCAGCCACAAAUGCGAAAGCACUUGACAGAUACCUUCUUCCACCUGAGGACUCAGAUUACGGUAACCUGCAUAUUUUAAAGGAAACUUUUUGAGUGCACAACACAUAAGCUCUU
rnacentral:lncRNA from 1 species